rnacentral:rRNA from 1 species
GAUGAACGCUGACAGAAUGCUUAACACAUGCAAGUCUACUUGAUCCUUCGGGUGAUGGUGGCGGACGGGUGAGUAACGCGUAAAGAACUUGCCCUGCAGUCUGGGACAACAUUUGGAAACGAAUGCUAAUACCGGAUAUUAUGUGAGUUUCGCAUGAAAUUCAUAUGAAAGCUAUAUGCGCUGCAGGAGAGCUUUGCGUCCUAUUAGCUAGUUGGUGAGGUAACGGCUCACCAAGGCGAUGAUAGGUAGCCGGCCUGAGAGGGUGAACGGCCACAAGGGGACUGAGACACGGCCCUUACUCCUACGGGAGGCAGCAGUGGGGAAUAUUGGACAAUGGACCAAAAGUCUGAUCCAGCAAUUCUGUGUGCACGAUGAAGUUUUUCGGAAUGUAAAGUGCUUUCAGUUGGGACGAAGUAAGUGACGGUACCAACAGAAGAAGCGACGGCUAAAUACGUGCCAGCAGCCGCGGUAAUACGUAUGUCACAAGCGUUAUCCGGAUUUAUUGGGCGUAAAGCGCGUCUAGGCGGUUUGGUAAGUCUGAUGUGAAAAUGCGGGGCUCAACUCCGUAUUGCGUUGGAAACUGCCAAACUAGAGUACUGGAGAGGUGGGCGGAACUACAAGUGUAGAGGUGAAAUUCGUAGAUAUUUGUAGGAAUGCCGAUGGGGAAGCCAGCCCACUGGACAGAUACUGACGCUAAAGCGCGAAAGCGUGGGUAGCAAACAGG